AUGAGAGCCCCUUUGAACUUGCUGGGAAGUUUAACAGCGAGAGUGGAGAUUCCUGGGAGAAGAUCUGUUACCAAAAGACGAUAAAGAACUAGGGAAGCCAGAUGCUGUGUUGUGAGGACAGUCAGGCAGCCCCAUGGAGAGGCCCAUGUGGCAAGGCAUUGAGGACUUCUGCCAACAGCCAUAUGAAUGACCAUCUUGGAAGUAGGUGCUCCAGCCCUGGAUAAACCUUCAGAUGACUGCAGCCCCUGCUCAGAGCUUGACUGCAACCCCAUCAGAGACCCUGAGCCGGAGACACUCAGCUAAGUCACUCGGAGGUUUGCUUCAUCAGAAUCCAUAGGUUCUCAAGUGGCGCUCCUCCUUGUGCUCGCAGAACCCCGCUUAUUGACUCUACAGAUACUUUUUGCAGAAAAUGGCUGCCUCUUUGUUGUCUACUGUGACUCUUCAACUAGGAAAGAACCAAAUAGAUUUAACCUACUCAACUCGACACUUCUGAACAAAAAAGAAUGCAGAAUAUAUAGCACCAACCAGGUGAGUGUUCCACUCUAUAAAAGACUGUGCUGCUCUCUGAAUGUUUAUUCAUUUUACUUGUUGAUCAGAGGAAUUUA
rnacentral:lncRNA from 1 species